AUUGAACGCUGGCGGCAGGCCUAACACAUGCAAGUCGAACGAGUGGCGGACGUGUGAGUAAUGUCUGGGAAACUGCCUGGGGGAUGGGGAUAACUACUGGAAACGGUAGCUAAUACCGCAUACCAUCGGAUGUGCCCAGGUGGGAUUAGCGAGGGGGUGGGGUAAAGGCUCACCUAGGCGACGAUCCCUAGCUGGUCUGAGAGGAUGACCAGCCACACUGGAACUGAGACACGGUCCAGACUCCUACGGGAGGCAGCAGUGGGGAAUAUUGCACAAUGGGCGCAAGCCUGAUGCAGCCAUGCCGCGUGUAUGAAGAAGGCCUUCGGGUUGUAAAGUACUUUCAGCGGGGAGGCGUUACCCGCAGAAGAAGCACCGGCUAACUCCGUGCCAGCAGCCGCGGUAAUAC
rnacentral:rRNA from 1 species